CGAUAGCUGGGACUCGGAGGGGUGGCGUGUGGUGGCCUGGCUGGUCUGCGCAGCCGGGGGAGAACCAGCGCACCGGGCUGCUCCUGGGGAGGGGUGAUGCCCGCGGGGGAACCUGCCUGCAGCUGGCUCCUAGUGUGUUCCUCAGCGACUAACCCGCGGCGCUCCCUCAACGCAGGGUGUGGACGCACCGAAGGCAGGGGUACCGGCCAGGGGGUGCCCAGACAGCGGUAGUGAAAGCCGGUUCUUAUUGGCCGAAUAUUGAACGGAGGGGAUCUAUAAACGUGCGAAGCUAAAAGACAACGCAGGAAGGCGGAGGGUGGGGGUGUACGGCGUGUGUGUGUGAGAGAAAAUCCUCCUUUGACGCGCAGGAUUAUUUUUCGCCUAUGUUAAUGGCCAUUGCUAGCAUGACUCCACUACUCGCCUGCGUCUGUUUAAACAUAAACUCAUGCUCACGGCUUCCCAAAACCGAGGGAAGGCGGUUGGCUGCCAAAUCUGCACCACUUCUGCUCUGAGAGGAAGAGCAGCAGGUUGCUGGAGCCACCCAAUGUUGAUCCAUACAGCGUCGGCUGAAAGACACUUUGAAUAUCCUAUCUCGGCAGACCUCCAAAACUAGUCAUUUCUGAAGACAGGUCUCCAAGCAGCACUGCUGAAUACAACAGAGAUACUGAAGAAAGCAAGAAACAGAAGAGGGAAAAGGAGAAAUUUUGAUGAACAGUCAGGCAAGU